rnacentral:rRNA from 1 species
CUGCCCUUUGUACACACCGCCCGUCGCUACUACCGAUUGAAUGGCUCAGUGAGGCCUUCGGACUGGCCCAGGGAGGUUGGAAACGACCGCCCAGGGCCGGAAAGUUGUUCAAACUCGGUCAUUUAGAGGAAGUAAAAGUCGUAACAAGGUUUCCGUAGGUGAACCUGCGGAAGGAUCAUUA